ACCAGUAUGACUCUGGAAAUGGACAAUAAGCAAGCAGUGACCACAUCUUAUUUUUGGCUAAGGUUCUACCCAGCUUCCUAUGCCAGAAGAAAGACAUGAGGAGGAGCAGAUGCUUCAGCUAGAUGAACUUCAUGGAAGAAGUGAAUUCAUCAAUGAAGCAGCUGAAGAAAACUCAUCAUGUAAUUCUGCUGAAUGGGCUGUGUCUACACUGUAUGAAUCAUUUGAUCUUUUUUGCAAUGAACCAAGAUAAAAGAUGGCAAAUCCAUUGUGACUACUGUAUCCAGUGCAGCAGAUGAAGAAAGCCCAUGAAUGAGGGCAGCUGAAGAGUCAAGAACAAAAGUGAGACAAGGAUUUACUAUCUACUUUGACACUGAGAACUAAAGGAUCAUGUCAUAAAUAACCGGUAUGGAUAAAGAUCUAUGAAACUGAAAACAAUACCAUAAUUUGCUGCUGAAAUAUGGAUUACAUGAGUCUGCUGUCAGAAGCACAUCAGUGGGACAAUAUGCCAGAACAAAUGUUGGUUCAGAACAGUCUCUGAAUGUUUUGUCAUUGACUUUAUCAUAAGGAUCUGUGAAUUUGGAGUGUUCGCAGUUUUAGAAGACUAUGUCUUCAACUCUACCCCCAAUAUCCAGAGUGCAGAACUAAUAAGGGGUGUAUUGCCAUACUUCGUGUCUUCUGGAUUGAACGGUAUUUUUCAACAAAAGUGUUACUUCAGGCAGCCAGGCAUUGGCUGCCUGAAAUUUAAUGGCAAUCUUUCAACCAAAUAGGUAGGUACUACAUAUAGGACGAAGUCUGAUCCCUGAAACAGUCAUCAGUGCUGACUACAUCUUACCAAGGGUGAUAUGCCAAAAGGCAUUACUUUCCUGCAGACAGGAACUGCUAAUGUUAAUUUAUUCACAAAAUUAAAGCCUGCCAGAGUAGGUAGUCUCCUAUGGUCAAUGAAAUACUCAGUUUAAAUGAAAUUAUAUAUAAUAGAAUUAUAUAUAAUUAUCAUUUGAUUGUGGGGAGGUUUGGAGCAAAUGGGUGUUAACACUUAUUCCACUUUUGCCCAUUCUAAAACUAGAGAAUCACUGAAGAAAUAAAUCAAAACUAAAAAUGCA
rnacentral:lncRNA from 1 species